rnacentral:lncRNA from 1 species
ACAUUAUUAGUAGUAUUGAACCCUCAUGUAAUCUCCUUCAUCAGGGACUUCACGGAGUUCUAUUUGUUAACUGACUAGAUACAGGGCUCCAACUAGGAUUCUAGGUCUCCAAGGUCAGGGCAUGCAAGAGGCCAUAGACCUUUGUCAAGCGGCAGGGGAAGUU